rnacentral:tRNA from 1 species
GGGUGUAUAGCUUAGUUGGUAGAGCAUUGGGCCUUUAACCUAAUGGUCGCAGGUUCAAGUCCUGCUAUACCCA